UUAUCAGCAGCAACUUUAUACCUUACCUCAGGAUCAAUGAUUUAAAGGAUGGGUCCCCCUUUCCUAGUGACUUCAACAAACAGGAAUCAGCAGGGAUUUAUUAGAAAUUUUUUAUGAUCUGCUACUAAGUCACUUCACUAGUCAUAAGAUUUCGGAUGUACUUGUUCUCCAAGUGGUAAAGGUCCAUACUGAAACAUUAUAGCAGUAAACAAGAAUGAAGAACAAUGGGGAAAAAAAGAGAGAAAUAAACCCCAAAAAACCAACUGGAAAACUUGUGAUGGCAAAAUCACAAUGAUCUGUCUAAGAAACUUAUCUACAGAAAGACUGGGCUAAAUCAGCUACUAAAAUGUAUAUACACUGGGCUGCCAGCUAAAAGAAGUAUGUGCCCACAGCCAAGUGUGUGGAAAAAAAAAACCUCAUCAGGACAAUGUUCUGACUGACUCCUGAACGUUACUGUUUUCAACACUCAACCAAAUGAGUAGAAACUGAGGCUCUGUAGAGAACAGUUUGCAGAACAAGCUACCCUAUGCAUCUGAGAAUAAACCUACAGGUAAAAAGAAACCAUCUCCCAUUGCUGAUAUCACUCCCAAUCUGACUUCAUUCUUAGAAGAUCCAUCAAGAUACCUCUGACCAGCACAGUCCAGUGUAAUUUGGGUCUGCACAUGUUGUCUGACGUUUUUUGCCUACCUGCUGAAUGGAGGCUGCACUGGUGUUAUUGACAGAACUCAUGUGGGGAACACACGGCAUUGGGCUGCUUGUAUCAGAGAGCAGCCAGUGUUACCUGAGACAGGAGCCACUGGUGUAUCUCUGGAAGGCAGUCACUCUCUCCCGUUCCUUCUGGGUCUCUGAAAGCUUUUGCAUUUAAAGCCACUCUGAGCAGAACUUUACAGCUUAUUUUUGGAAGCAAGUGAAAGAGCUAUUUGUCAAACCUUUAACUUCAGAUUGGUCAGCACAAUUUUCUGAAAAUUUAUACAGCGUUCAGUCUUCAUUCUGUGCCAAGUAUGAGUUGCCUGCAGAGAACUACACUGCACUUACAGCAAUUGCACUUGAACUGUCAUGUUCUAGGUGGAAUCUCAAAUGUUUACUAAUCAGACAACAAGCCUUCCACAGUUCACUGUAUGAAUACCUUAAAUCUCAGCCUCUCCCACCACAGUGAAGGAAAUCAAGUGGAAACUCUGAAGCAAGUUGCUGUGUGUCCAUGACAUGCUGCAGCCAUUCAUCAAGCAAAGACUUUUAAAAUCCUAUGCAAUAUAUUACAUCACCAAAGGCCUCUAAGAACAAGAAUACAGAUGGUAUUUUAUAGCUCUGACAUAUAUAAAACACACUCAGCUAGCAUAUAUUUUGCUAGAUCAUGUGAAGAAACAUUCUGUACUCCAUCAAUUACUAGUAUUGGGUAAAUCAAGUGUAGAAUGAAGAACUCAGAAAAAAAUUACAUAUAUGCAAUUCAGACAGAACACACUUGUAGCAAAUGAAGUUGCGGUCAAAAACUGAAUUAACAUACUGUGCUGGUUUUGGCUGGGAUAGUAGCUAUUAUGGGGCUGUGUUUUGGAUUUGUGCUGAAAACAGUGUUAAUAUAGGGGUGUUUUUGUUAUCCCUGAGCAGAGCUUACACAAAGCCAAGGCCUUUUCUUCUUCUCACCCCACCCCACCAGCAAGGGGGCUGGGGGUGCACAAGGAGCUGGCAGGGGACACAGCUGAGACAGCUGAACCCAACUGCCCACAGGAACAUCCCAGAUCAUAUGAUGACAAGCUCAACACAUUAAGCUGGGGGAAGAAGGAAGGGGGGGAUGUUUGGAGUGAUGGCAUUUGUCUUCCAGAAUAACUUAGGAGCCCCACAUUCCUGGAGAUGGCUGAACACCCGACUGCCAAUGGGAAGUCGUGAAUUAAUUCCUUGUUUUGCUUUGUUUGUG